rnacentral:tRNA from 1 species
GGACAGGUGGCUGAGUUAGGCGGUGGGUUGUAAACCCAUUUAUGGGGAGGUUCCCCCCCGUUCG